CUACGUUCCCGGGCCUUGUACGACACCGGCCCGUCACACCACGAAAGUCGGCAACACCCCGAAACGCCGGUAGGGCCGUAACCCCCUUGUCGGGACGGGAAACCGUACGAAGGGUGGGUUGAUGAUUGGGGUG
rnacentral:rRNA from 1 species